CUAGCACCCAGGUUCUAACCAUCUCUCCAUCCUUUUGUUAUUAGUUGUUACUAGAAGCCUAGUGUCAUUUGGAGGCUGGUUCUCUUGAGAGGCAAAGCCAUGGAGCUGACACUGACAAUGGCCUUUUUGUUCCAAGAAAGGCCUCCUGGUUUAGCUGUGUGACUAAAUGCUGUUUGCCCUCUUCGGUAGACUCUAUUCUCAAGAUUCUCUUGUUUUCUCACCAUCCCAUUUGAUAUGCUUGUUAGUAACUGUUACAGGUCUUCUUUACCACCGAUGAAAGACGGAAUCCUACUGGAGACCAGAAAAAAAUGUUCCAGACACGGAUAGAAGGCCCUCACUUCUGCCUGCUCUCUUCAGACGCCUGAAGGACUUAAACUGUGAUAGAGUGGCUGAUGUUCUGCCUUUGAAUAGAGUGUCCCAAAAGAUGGGACCACUGGUCAGCUGCCAUGGACUAGAUUCUCCACCGGUUGGGGACAAUCUGGUCACCUUGCUGCCCAAUCCGGACCUGGAGCCACCACAGCACGAGUGUCAAGUACUGGCAGAAGCCCAUGGGUGGAGGAAAGACCUCUGCGACUGGCUGAUUGACCCCUGCUGAAAGCCGAGGACCUUGUCCACAGACGGGAACAGUUCUCUUCAUGAAUGAAGGUCAGAGACAAGUGGGUGCUGCCAUGGUGGACAACACAAUGUCAUCUGGGAUGACUGAACCUCUACCCCCCCCAGUACAUCAGCACUGCAGAUGCCUUUACCAUCUCUUGGAUGCCCUGGUGAAGCCAACAACUGUGAGUACUAUUCAUUGCUCAGGAUAUCAGGAGGGAAGAGAUUCAGUGACAUGGGGCAAUAACGAAGCAGAUAAAGUGGCUCGAAAAAUGGUUAUGCAGGAGCCCAUCCUGGUUGCAGGCCUGCAAGAGACAGCCACUGGGAACUGGGAUCGGACUAAGGGAUGGCCUCACUUAGAAAAGGCCCAAAUUGCUUAAAAGAUAAAGGACAAUGGCACAUUGAGGGGAAAGCUAUACUUCCCAGAGAACAAAGAAAAGACUCACUUUGCCAAAUACAGAAAUGGACUCAAUUAGGAGAUAAAAAGUUUGUCCAAGUAGUUAAGUGUAUGUAAUAGACUUUAAGAUUUUAGCCAGAGAGACAGUAGAAAGUAUAAGGUAUGUCAAUAAGUGAAUGCUUAGCAAGCAAACAGGGCAAAGAGACCUAGAGAGUUUGGUGAAAAGUCGAAGUGAACUUCACUGAGAUAAAACCAGAAAAAUAUAAUCACAAGUAUCUCCUAGUGCUUGUAGAUACUUUUUCAGGAAUAGAUAGAAGCUUUCCUCACCAAACAAGAGACGGCCUCUGCAAUCAUCAAGAAGAUACUGGAAGAAAUCUUCCUCCAAUUUGGAAUGCCCAAGGUAAUCUGGUCAGACAACUGGCCCUACUUUCGUUGCCAAGGUAAGCCAGGGUGUGGCCAAGUAUUUAGAGGUCAAUUGGAAAUUACAUUGUAUUUACAGACCUCAAAGUUCAGGACAGGUAGGGUAAAUAAAUAGAACUCUAAAAGAGACCCUGACCAAAUUAACCAUGGAGACUGGCACAGACUGGGUGACACUCCUUCCCUCUUGCUCUCUUCAGAGCAAGAAAUACCCCUUCCAGAUUCAGCCUUACCCCCUUUGAGAUCUUAUAUGGGGCCUCAGCCCCCCUGACUGUAUUAGAUGAUGUUACUGAACCAACAUGUCAUAGUGCCAUAGUAAUAAUGAUUUGUGUGCCAGGCUAAAAGACCUACAGGUGAUACAGAAAGAAAUCUGCUCACAGCUGACAGCAGCCUAUGCCCCGGAGACCCCUGAGACAUCCCAUCAGUUCCAGGUUACAGCUACACUGAGUCCAGACACUCGAGCCUCGCUGGAAAGGACCGUACCUGGUGCUGCUGACCACCCUGACAGCUGUCAAUUCUCAGCCCUCACCAGCCGUGUACUAGCUGUUGGGGCUGAGAGCUGGGACCUAGAGGGAAAUUCAGUCAUGUUUGUCCUGGGUUCUAUCAAGAUAGGUGUGGGAUAGGCUUGAUUUCCAUUACAAAUGAUGUAACAUUGCAUAUGUUAGUACUCUUAACACUUCUUGGGACUGUGCCUCAGGGAUCACAGUCCGUAUAAGCUUAGAAGUUCUAAAAGCUAGUCAUGACCUUGGUGGAUAGGCUUGGAUAGUGUCCAGGUUAGAAUCCUCAUGUUAAGACUACAAUACCAAGCUGUUAUGCUAGAUGAAGCUGAGUUCUCCAUGAAGUUCUAGGAUUAGAACUAUUAACAAAAAA
rnacentral:lncRNA from 1 species